rnacentral:rRNA from 1 species
ACCCCAAGAACACCGUCCCCGGGUACGGUGUCCCCGGACACCCCGAUGUCAAGCAAGGUGGGUCCCGGGAGGCAGUUCGCAACCCCGCCAAUGGCGAGGUCAGAGCUGUUCGACACCAAAGACAGCGUUGGCGCACCCCACAGGUUUCGGCGCAUGGGGGAUCUCCUUGGCGAGGCUGCGGCAACACCGCAACACCCCGAGGAUGAGGACGCUGAUGACGACGAGGUCCUGCAUCUGAUGGCCAGCGAGGAGCCGACCACAUUCACGGAGGCCGAGCAAGAGGAUUGCUGGCGCCACGCGAUGCUGGACGAGAUGGCGUCGAUCAAUGACAACACCACUUGGACACUCACCACACUGCCUGCUGGGCACCUAGCCAUCGGGAUCAAGUGGGUGUUCAAGCUGACGAAGGACGAGCACGGUGCCAUUGUCAAGCACAAGGCGUGCCUCGGCGCAAAGGGCUAUGUGCAGCGUGAGGGAGUGGACUUUGAGGAAGUCUUCACUCCGGUGGCAAGGCUGGAGUCCGUGCGGCUCAUCCUUGCCGUGGCUGCUCACCGCGGGUGGGAGGUACACCACAUGGAUGUCAAGUCGGCGUUUCUCAAC